GAUGAAGAGCGUAGCGAAAUGCGAUAAGUAGUGUGAAUUGCAGAAUUCAGUGAAUCAUCGAAUCUUUGAACGCACAUUGCGCCCCUUGGUAUCCCGAGGGGCAUGCCUGUUCGAGCGUCAUUUCACCACUCAAGCCUGGCUUGGUGUUGGGCGACGUCCCCUUUGGGGACGCGCCUCGAAACGCUCGGCGGCGUGGCACCGGCUUUAAGCGUAGCAGAAUCUUUCGCUUUGGAAGUCGGGGCCCCGUCUGCCGGAAGACCUACUCGCAAGGUUGACCUCGGAUCAGGCAGGGAUACCCGCUGAACUUAAGCAUAUCAAUAAGCGGAGGA
rnacentral:misc_RNA from 1 species